CAUAUGAUGAUGUUCAAAGAGGUUUGGAGCCUUUGUGCUCUCCAAUUAAAUGCAGGGAGUAUUUAGAUUGAUAUUAGAUUAUCAAAAUUUUUUAUGGUUUACGUGAUCGGACUAAUAAUUAAGUAUCCAAGCUCCGUUUAGCAAAAUCCAAUUGAUAAUUAAUAUAUAAUAUUUUUAUAAUUACUACUUAAUAUGAUAUGAAUAUGAUAUCAAAAUUAUGAUAAAAAUUCUAUUAAAAAAUAAAAAAAAUACAAAAAAUUGAAACAGGCCCAUAGAUUUUGAGAAAAUUUCAAAAAAUAUGACAAUA